rnacentral:rRNA from 1 species
GCCAAGUCGCGUGAGGGAUGAAGGUUCUAUGGAUCGUAAACCUCUUUUAUAAGGGAAUAAAGUGCGGGACGUGUCCCGUUUUGUAUGUACCUUAUGAAUAAGGAUCGGCUAACUCCGUGCCAGCAGCCGCGGUAAUACGGAGGAUCCGAGCGUUAUCCGGAUUUAUUGGGUUUAAAGGGUGCGUAGGCGGCCUUUUAAGUCAGCGGUGAAAGUCUGUGGCUCAACCAUAGAAUUGCCGUUGAAACUGGGAGGCUUGAGUAUGUUUGAGGCAGGCGGAAUGCGUGGUGUAGCGGUGAAAUGCUUAGAUAUCACGCAGAACCCCGAUUGCGAAGGCAGCCUGCCAAGCCAUGACUGACGCUGAUGCACGAAAGCGUGGGGAUCAAACAGGAUUAGAUACCCUGGUAGUCCACGCAGUAAACGAUGAUCACUAGCUGUUUGCGAUACAGUGUAA